AUGGUUCAAUUUCCUUUACAGCGGAGAAGAAACCAGAUACACCGUCGUAGUAGUUGUAAAGCAGAACGCGCUAGCUUCUAUAUAAAUAUCAGCACGUAGAGGCUUGUAGAAGGCACAUUUCACCCCAACGAAGAUUCACAUUCAAAAUUUGCCACAAAGCAAAAUGAACAUAGCUUGUAUUACCCUCGGACUCUUCCUUAUAUCAAGUAUUGCCCUGCUCCAGACUGAAGGUAGCCCUCUUCAUGACGUACGAAACAGACCCUCUGAGUUCGUGAACGACGUGUCCAGUUUAGCUGAUGACGUUGCACCUUUACGAUAUAAUCUUCGAAGAAAACCUGUUGUAUUUGAAGACGCUGUACUACCUCCAAGAUUUGGUGGAAUUUUUGGAAGAAAAAAAUAGCCUGAAAAUCUCUUUCGCCGUAGCAACUAGCGGUGGCAAAAUGAUAAGAUACACAGUGUUAUCAAAGCAAACUGCCUGAUUGGUUCAACUGAAUAACAUAUUUUUCUAAUUGGCUAAAAUGUGUAUCACUAUUUGCUACGAAUACCAACUAAUUGGAAAUAAUCAAUCAGAUACAUAAAUAUAAAGAUAUAUAUUUAUGUAUCUGAUUGAGUAUAAAGAGUUCAGCCAAAGGCAUUAUAACAUAAUAAUAUUAAUAAAGAUAUGUAUUUUAUCAUAA